GGCUCUUUUUUUAAAUAAAUCUGAACUUUUUUUUUUUUUUUUUACCAAUUUACCCAAUCAAAACAUAGUCAAAAAGUCCAAACUUCCAUAUAAACAAGAUUAAAAACACCUUAAAAUUACGAAUCGAAAACUCAUUUAAAACAAAUCUGAGCUAAAAAGAAGUUACCUCGAUCACAGAGACUGUAAAAUUUAUCUACUCAAUUACAAUUUUAUCCUAAAAAUUGAUAAAAUUGUAAUUGGGUGGUAUAUUAUUUCUUUUUUCUGGAUAAAUUUUCAGAAAACAGACUCAGAUCUUGACGACGGCGGUAGAAGACUCAACAAUUGCAGUUGCCCCCUC
rnacentral:lncRNA from 1 species